rnacentral:tRNA from 1 species
GGGGUUGUGGCUCAGUGGUAGAGUAUUUGCCUAGCAUGUUCAAGCCCCUGAGUUUGAUCCUCAGCAUCACACA